UACGUACUACAUGCCCAAACCAUCCGAGC
rnacentral:sRNA from 1 species